GAAAUGCGAUAAGUAAUGUGAAUUGCAGAAUUCAGUGAAUCAUCGAAUCUUUGAACGCACAUUGCGCCCGCCGGUAUUCCGGCGGGCAUGCCUGUUCGAGCGUCAUUUCAACCCUCAGGCCUCGCCUGGUGUUGGGGCUCCUGCGCACUGCAGGCCCUCAAAGGCAGCGGCGGGUGUGCCCACGAACCGAACGCAGUAGUCUUCUCUCGUUCUGGUCGCGCGGGCGCGCUCCGGCCGUUAAACCCCUUAUACUCCAAUGGUUGACCUCGGAUCAGGUAGGAAUACCCGCUGAACUUAA
rnacentral:misc_RNA from 1 species